rnacentral:rRNA from 1 species
UACGUAGGCACCAAGCGUUGUCCGGAUUUAUUGGGCGUAAAGAGCUCGUAGGCGGUUCGGUAAGUCGGGUGUGAAAACUCUGGGCUCAACCCAGAGCCGCCACCCGAUACUGCUGUGACUCGAGUGCGGUAGGGGAGCGGGGAAUUCCUGGUGUAGCGGUGAAAUGCGCAGAUAUCAGGAAGAACACCGAUGGCGAAGGCAGCUCUCUGGGACGGUACUGACGCUGAGACGCGAAAGCGUGGGGAGCGAACAGG